UACGGGGGGAGCAAGCGUUGUUCGGAUUUACUGGGCGUAAAGGGCUCGUAGGCGGCCAACUAAGUCAGACGUGAAAUCCCCAGGCUCAACCUGGGAACUGCGUCUGAUACUGGAUGGCUUGAAUCCGGGAGAGGGAUGCAGAAUUCCAGGUGUAGCGGUGAAAUGCGUAGAUAUCUGGAGGAAUACCGGUGGCGAAGGCGGCAUCCUGGACCAUAACUGACGCUGAGGCGCGAAAGCUAGGGGAGCAAACGGG
rnacentral:rRNA from 1 species